AGCCCAUAGAAAGGGCAAGGCCUUAACAAGUCCUUAAAACGCUCUCAUGCGUCAAAGAAAGAUUCCCCAUCUUCUUGCCUAAAAUUACUUAUUUCGUUCCUGACUUGGGU